CAUGUUGGCAAACUCUUGGAUUGGAUUAUGUGGCCGAAUAGGCUUCUGACACCAUGUAAUGAAAUUCUAAUAUCUAGCAAUAUAUCGCCAAACAUUUCCAUGUAUUCCACUUUCUUUGUCAAACUUUAAAAGUUCACUCUACCGCUUUCCUAUGUGCAUCAUGAGUUCUCUCCAUACACAAUAUUCAAGGUCGGUGUGGAUGAUUACAUCGGAUGGACAUUGAAUAAGGGGUGGAGCAAUAGAAAAAAAAACCACCUUAAAAGAAGAAGGGUAAUUUUUAGUUCAUCAAAGAGUUCGACCUUAUAUCAAACUUCAGGGAAUCAUUUCAAGUCCAUCCAAACCAAUAGUCUUCUUCAUCAACAAUACAUCUAUAUUCAGGACUACAGCUUAGAAGUUGAAGAAAUGGUACCCGAGGUACCGGAGGAGCUUGAAGGUAAGGCGAGUAAGCAGAAAGGUCUCGGCGGCGGCGUGACCUAUAUCUCGGCUGAAAGACUGCUGGCGGGUCAGAGGAG